rnacentral:rRNA from 1 species
UUGAAAGGGAAACGCUUGAAGUCAGUCGUACCGGUGGGUAAACACACUUUUCGGCGUGAUUAUGUGGAGCGUGAGGGAGUUAAAACGCCCUUCACGCCCUGCAUAUUCGUGUUCUUUUGGGUGUACUGACCCCGCCCUGGUAGAGUUUACGUCAAUUUUCGAACCCGCAUAAAAAAAAUUUGGGAAAAAAAUCCUUCGAUCCUCGUAAUUAAAAUGUUUUUUAACUCCCCGGGAGAAUGUUGAUGGAUGGGGAUUGAGGAUUGCAACGGAUACCCUUCUGGGCUACCCGCCUGAUCUCUGAAAGUUGCUCUGGUGCCGAAAGCUCGCUUACGGUCAUCAAAGUUGACGUUCAACAGGUUAGAACGGGAUAAAUUCGUUAAGGAUGUUGACGUA